rnacentral:tRNA from 1 species
GGGCCUGUAGCUCAGUUGGUUAGAGCAUCUGGUUUACACCCAGAGGGUCGGGGGUUCGAGUCCCUCCGGGCCCA